rnacentral:misc_RNA from 1 species
GAUGAAGAACGUAGUGAAAUGCGAUAAGUAAUGUGAAUUGCAGAAUUCAGUGAAUCAUCGAAUCUUUGAACGCACAUUGCGCCCCCUGGUAUUCCGGGGGGCAUGCCUGUUCGAGCGUCAUUUCACCACUCAAGCCUCGCUUGGUAUUGGGCAACGCGGUCCGCCGCGUGCCUCAAAUCGACCGGCUGGGUCUUCUGUCCCCUAAGCGUUGUGGAAACUAUUCGCUAAAGGGUGCUCGGGAGGCUACGCCGUAAAACAAACCCAUUUCUAAGGUUGACAUCGGAUCAGGUAGGGAUACCCGCUGAACUUAAGCAUAUCAAUAAGCGGAGGA